ensembl:lncRNA
CUGUCUGCAGAUGGGGUCUCGUUGCAGAGGAGCAACAAUCUGCUGCAGUUUGGACUGAGAUGCAGUCCCCCAUCAGCUGCAUUGUGAGCAGAAGGGGAGUGCAAAUAUGAAGCAGGAGGACCCAGAGCCCAUACCGUUUAGAGAGGAACAGGUCUCUGAAACCUCAGUGUUCUUAUUCACGCCUUCCAGCGUGAAAAGUGAAUCUGAUAAUGAUCAAGACCCAUCUUAGGCUUCACAUCUUUACCAAACCCAAAGUGAAGAAAACCGAGAGAGUGACUGUCUACCCAACAACACAAGUGCAGAAAUCAAAACAGAAGUUGAUGGAGAGGACAUCAGAGUAUAGGAACCAACCGGUGACUCUCAGCCCCUCUGCAGCAAACCCAAAAUGUUCUGCAGUAAAGAGUGAAAACGGGGAUUGUGUUGAUGGGGAGGCAAGUGGAGGAUUUAUCUCAAAACUAAAGCCACUCGAAUCAAUUCGGGCUAAGAAAGAACAAAGCUUCUAAAUGUCUACCAAUGGCAGGAAAACCAGUGAGCUGAAAGUGCCAUUAGGAUCUAACACACGGGAGAGACCCUACGUGCUAUGUUUGCCAAAAAGGCUUUUGGACAGCAUACACUUUACAAGCAAAUGGAAUUAUUCACACAGAGGAGAAAUCGUUUCAAUGCGAAGACUGUGGGAAAUGUUUCAGCAGUAAGGGAAAACUGAAGAAACAUGUUAAGAUUCACACUGGGGAGGUGAGAUACAAAUCAGAGAGAAAAUAUACCUGUCCCGUAUGAAGAAAAGGCAUAAGCACAGCAUUCGGGUUUAAAAAUACAUCAGAGAAUUCACACAAGGGAGAAAUCAUUUCAGUGCCUGUUGUGUGGAAAUGUUACCCAUCAGCAAAUUAUCUUUAAAAAAAACACCAGCGCACUCGACAUUUCGGUGCAAUGAUUGCGGCAAGCACUACUGCUGCAAAAGCGCCCUGAACAUGCAUUUAAGGAUACACACGGGACAAAAAUGUUAUUGCGCAGAAUGUGGCAAAUAAAGUGCAUUCAAAAAGUAUUCAGACCCUUUGACUUUAUCCACAUUUUGUUACGUUUCAGCCUUAUACUAAAAAUGUAUUGGUUUUUUUCUUCAUCAUUCUACACACAAUAACCCAUAAUGAC